GACACAACCAGAAGAGUUUGAGUCUUCUGUGUUCACUGGAAUUCCAACAGCCAGAGUACCUGAUCACUUUUCAACAGCUAUUGUAUUUUUGCAAGUUUUCUCAGGGACACACACACACACACAAAAAAGUGGGAGACGGGUGCACAGGCCAUCAGAGAAUCCUCUCAACCCAACUUACUGCUUCCUACUCCUUAUCAAUGACACGCGGAUAGAUUUUUACUUAAUUUGACCUGGCUAGUUCAGACAACACACAAGAAAUAUAGCGUCAAUUCUCUUUUACAAGAAAGGCUAAAUGGAGACCACAAGAUGAGUCAACACCACGGGGAAAAAAAAAGUGAUGAAGAUGAAAAAAAAGCAGUUGAUUAAUCUCUGAAUUUUUUCCAACUCACUCCUCCCAGGAAACUAAAGGCAAUUGAUAAGUAGCCUAUCCUUUUAGUUCAAAUUACGCCACUACAACUUCUCCAACUCUACACAGGUCAGCCAAAGGGGGGGAAAAAAAAGUACUGCUAAUUAACAGGUUCUGCCAAACUUUGUGUGUGUGUGUAUUUUUAUUUUUAAAACGGAACCAUCAGUAGUUGCAAGGUCUCCCCAAAACAGAUCCACUAACUUCUCUUCCCUUUUAGUAUGAAAUUGCAAUCCAUCACUGGAGAGGAGGGGGGUGUGGGAGAGAUCAUGGAGGGGGUGAAAGAGGAAGGCUGGGAAGACCAAACUAGAACUUUGGUUUUACAUCACAUAUUCCCUAAUCCGGAACACAGCCAUUCCCCUUGAUGUUGAAUGUUUGGGGAGCUUGAUUGUUUGUUUGUUUUUUAUUGUUGUGGGUUCUUUUAAGAGAUUUCUGAGAAAAGGGGUCAACGGAUAUGGGGAUAUUAUAUG